UACCAGCUCUCCGAGUGGUAGGGAUGAUUAUUGGGCUUAAAGCGUCCGUAGCCGGCUUAGCAAGUUUCCUGUUAAACCCAGCGACUCAAUCGUUGGAUCGCGGGAAAUACUACUAGGCUAGGAGGCGGGAGAGGUCAACGGUACUUCUGGGGUAGGGGUGAAAUCCUAUAAUCCCGGGAGGACCACCAGUGGCGAAGGCUGUUGACUAGAACGCGCUCGGCGGUGAGGGACGAAAGCUGGGGGUAGCAAACCGGAUUAGAUACCCGGGUAGUCCCAGCUGUAAACGAUGCGAGCUAGGUGUUGGGAUGGCUACGGGCCAUUUCAGUGCCGCAGGGAAGCCAUUAAGCUCGCCGCCUGGGGAGUACGGCCGCAAGGCUGAAACUUAAAGGAAUUGGCGGGGAGCACCACAAGGCGUGAAGCUUGCGGUUC
rnacentral:rRNA from 1 species